GACGAACGCUGGCGGCGUGCCUAACACAUGCAAGUCGAGCGGAGUCGAUCGACGGAAGCCUUCGGGCGGAAGAUGGUUGACUUAGCGGCGGAUGGGUGAGUAACGCGUGGGCAACCUGCCUCGAAGACCGGGAUAACAGCCCGAAAGGGCUGCUAAUACCGGAUGUGGUCAAAGAUCCGCAUGGAUUUUUGAUUAAAGGGGAAACCCGUUUCGAGAUGGGCCCGCGUCCUAUCAGCUAGUUGGUGAGGUAAAAGCUCACCAAGGCGACGACGGGUAGCCGGCCUGAGAGGGUGACCGGCCACACUGGAACUGAGACACGGUCCAGACUCCUACGGGGGCAGCAGUGGGGAAUCUUCCACAAUGGGCGAAAGCCUGAUGGAGCGACGCCGCGUGAGCGAAGAAGGCCUCGGUUGUAAAGCUCUGUCUGGAGGGACGAAGGAAGUGACGGUACCUCCGGAGGAAGCCACGGCUAACUACGUG
rnacentral:rRNA from 1 species